GUUUCCCCAUGCUGGUCUCGUGAUAAUGAGUGAGUUCUCACGAGAUCUGAUGGUUUUAUAAGGGGCUCUUCCCCUGUUUGCUUGGCACGUCUUCCUGCCUUGCGCUGCCUGGCGGAGGAGGUGUCUUGCUUCCCCUUUGCCUUCGACCAUAAUUGUUAGUUUUCCUGAGACCUCUCCAACUAGCUCAGCCAUCCAGUUGAAGCCAUCCAGCAGAGAUAGAUGAUCCCGGUUUGACAUGCAGGAGGAGAUGCAGAAAAGCAGCAAGUGAUUCACCCCAUGGAGUCUCAGAAAGGCUUGGAAAUUGGAAGCAGUGAACUGUCUUUAGAAAUAAUUUUAAUUGGCAACUCUGAUUUUUGCCUCUGCCUUCUGGUGAACUGUGAGUCUCAUGGUGAAUUCCAGAGGCAAUCAUGCUGGACUCCUGACCAGAGGAGGCCUCUCCCACAUUUCUUUGAAUUGCUUGGUUCGUAAAUCCUGGUACAACACCAGCGAAGUGAUGAAGCCAUAAGAAGAAAAAAGUAAAAAAAAAAAAAAACAGCUUGUGGUCCUGAGAGAGGCUUCAAAGCCAGGAAACAAGGAUCACGGAGCAUGUGAGAAAAUGGUAACUGAGAAGUCUGAUCAAAGAACACACUAAAAUUGGAGGCAUGAAACACUUGCAGAAUUGUCCUAAUGGUCCAUCUGGUGAUCCUGGGAACAAGUGUCUUUCAAAGCCAUGACCAGUCUUUCUACUUCUUCCUCAUACUUUGUAUCUGGCUUGCGUACAUGUCACAGAAUCAGAGAUACUUAGCGAUAUUCAACAACCUUGCAAAUGGAGUGGUCGCUGCCAGACAGCUACGAACAGCUGUAGAACAAUU